rnacentral:rRNA from 1 species
GACGAACGCUGGCGGCGUGCCUAAUACAUGCAAGUCGAACGAGAGCGACCGGUGCUUGCACUGGUCAAUCUAGUGGCGAACGGGUGAGUAACACGUGGGUAACCUGCCCAUCAGAGGGGGAUAACAUUCGGAAACGGAUGCUAAAACCGCAUAGGUCCUUUAACCGCAUGGUUGAAGGAGGAAAAGAGGCGCAAGCUUCUGCUGAUGGAUGGACCCGCGGUGCAUUAGCUAGUUGGUGAGGUAACGGCUCACCAAGGCCGUGAUGCAUAGCCGACCUGAGAGGGUGAUCGGCCACAUUGGGACUGAGACACGGCCCAAACUCCUACGGGAGGCAGCAGUAGGGAAUCUUCCGCAAUGGACGCAAGUCUGACGGAGCAACGCCGCGUGAGUGAAGAAGGUUUUCGGACCGUAAAACUCUGUUGUUAGAGAAGAACAAGUGCUAGAGUAACUGUUAGCGCCUUGACGGUAUCUAACCAGAAAGCCACGGCUAACUACGUGCCAGCAGCCGCGGUAAUACGUAGGUGGCAAGCGUUGUCCGGAUUUAUUGGGCGUAAAGCGAGCGCAGGCGGUUCCUUAAGUCUGAUGUGAAAGCCCCCGGCUCAACCGGGGAGGGUCAUUGGAAACUGGGGAACUUGAGUGCAGAAGAGGAGAGUGGAAUUCCAUGUGUAGCGGUGAAAUGCGUAGAUAUAUGGAGGAACACCAGUGGCGAAGGCGACUCUCUGGUCUGUAACUGACGCUGAGGCUCGAAAGCGUGGGUAGCAAACAGG